rnacentral:misc_RNA from 1 species
UCUCCGUUGGUGAACCAGCGGAGGGAUCAUUACAAAUUUACGCUGCGCGCCUAGGAGGCAACUCCCUGGCGACCGGCAAAAACCCAGUGAACUUAACCUUAUGUUGCCUCGGCGUCACAGCUGCCCCUUCUAGGAGGGGCCCGACGUCAAAGGACCCGAAAAACUCUUUACCCUUUGAGAUAUAUCUGAUUACUUUUAUACAAAUGUUAUAAAACUUUCAACAACGGAUCUCUUGGCUCCAGCAUCGAUGAAGAACGCAGC